UGGAGAGUUUGAUCCUGGCUCAGACGAACGCUGGCGGCGUGCUUAACACAUGCAAGUCGAACGGAAAGGCCCCUUCGGGGGUGCUCGAGUGGCGAACGGGUGAGUAACACGUGGGUGAUCUGCCCUGCACUCUGGGAUAAGCUUGGGAAACUGGGUCUAAUACCGGAUAGGACCAUGGGAUGCAUGUUCUGUGGUGGAAAGCUUUUGCGGUGUGGGAUGGGCCCGCGGCCUAUCAGCUUGUUGGUGGGGUGAUGGCCUACCAAGGCGACGACGGGUAGCCGGCCUGAGAGGGUGUCCGGCCACACUGGGACUGAGAUACGGCCCAGACUCCUACGGGAGGCAGCAGUGGGGAAUAUUGCACAAUGGGCGCAAGCCUGAUGCAGCGACGCCGCGUGGGGGAUGACGGCCUUCGGGUUGUAAACCUCUUUCAGUAUCGGCGAAGCUCCGUGGUUUUCUGCGGGGUGACGGUAGGUACAGAAGAAGCACCGGCCAACUACGUGCCAGCAGCCGCGGUA
rnacentral:rRNA from 1 species